UGAGCUAACCAGCUAGCCUGACCAUCAAUAUAACGUAACAAUAUACAUAACAAGCAAGGCCUAACAACAUAAAUUAAAUCAUUUUUUUACCUGAGUAUGGGAGACAGAAAAGG
rnacentral:rRNA from 1 species